AUUUGGUCAGCCUAUUCCCAACACAUGAAUUCAUCGACAGCAUAUGUGUUAAGGGGAAGAGAAAGGGGAUCAUUGUUACAUCAGUUGAGGAAGAAAUACAAGAAGAGCAGGUUGUUGAAAUGCAGGUAGCUGCAGAGUAAGAAGAUGAAGAGCCACUUGAUGACAGUCUCUUGCUGUAGAUGUGUGCCAAUUGAUAUGUGCAGAAAAGUAGUACUGUGGUCAACUUAAUGGAAGUGUCUCAUUUACUGCCCACGUUAAUUGCAAAGAUUUUUACCUCCAUCAUUGCUUUAGAGAUGUGUGGAUAAUUAUUUAAAUACAUUCCAAUUGGUGUUAUCUAUUUUACUGUACAAUUCUCUG